AGAGGCUAUGGGAAAGAAACCUGGAAAGGUAGGGAGGUAUGGAUAUGGACAAGCUAUGCCAAGGAGCAGGGCUUUGUCAUGGAGAGUGACUAGGUGCUUUUACAUAGGAAAGUCACCUGAUAAUAUUAAAACCUGUGAAAUAUCACUCUGGUGGAAGUGUGAAUGAAUUUGAAAGGGGUGUAACACUGUUCUACUUUGUUUACUCCUCAGUACCCUUGGCUGUGUACAUUUGAGUAAAGAGAGCACUAUAAAAUCAAAAACCAAUGAAAUGGUUUCCAGAACACAGAACUAUUAAGCUUAAGAAAAGGACAGAAGGAACUGAAGAGAGAGGAACUGUUUUGGAGCAUCACACUUCCACCUCAGAAGAAAUAAGGAAGGAAGGAGGAGGGUGUUCCCACGGCUCUUCAACCAGGCCGGCUCUUCAGCCUACAUCCCCAUCUCAUCAAGUAAAAGGGAUUUUUCAACUGGACCAACCAGAUGGUUUAACAGUGCACUCCCACACCAUUCAACUACGCAAGGGAGAUACACUUAACAUAUGCAGUCGUAUAACACCUACUAACAUUUUCAAACAUUAAACCUUUAAAAAAGAGUUCUAAAGAAAUAGAAGCUUGAAGUAUCAUCUCUCAAGUAUAUAGACACUACUUCAUGGUGUGGUAAUAUAUGCAUAUAGAAGCUAGUAAACACCUCCAGGAGAUGCAAAAGGAAUUAGAACUGCCACAAGGUGCAAGCAAAACCUUGAGGUGAGAAAAUCGAAUUUGGACACCGUUGAGGAGACUAUUGCAGUCAUCCAAGCUCAAGAUGGUGGAGCUUCAUCCUUGAGAAUAACCAAUGGGGAUAGAUUUAAGAGACACUUAGAGUCUGCAGCCAACAGGGCUGAAUGAGCAUUCUGUUUUUCCUCUUCUAAUCCUUCACCCAUCUGAGCUAAAGUCUAGACCUAAGGAGGCUACUAAUUCAGGGAUCGAGUAAUCUGCCAAGCAAGAGUUUAUUCAAGCACAGUUUGAAAUAAAGGUUUCAAAUGCAUAGCCUGUCGAUACUUUGGAAGGAUUCUCAUCAUAACGAGUAUGCAAUUUGCUAUAAAGAAGAAUGCCCAUUACGGACUAAAUGUUUAUGUCCUCCUAAAAUUCAUAUGUUGAAGGCCUAACUCUCAAUGUGAUGAUUAUGUGGAGAUGGUGCCUUUGGGAGGUAACUGGGCUUAGAUGUGGGCGUGAGGGUGGGGCCUCAUGGUGAAAUUUGUGCCCUUGUAAGAAAAACACACCACAGGUUUUCAUUCUUCCUCUGCCACAUGAGGCCACAGUAAGAAUGUGACCAUCUGCUAGCCAGGAGGAAAGUCCUCACUGGAACCCGCCCAUAAUAACACUCCAGUCUGGGGCUUUUCAGCCUCCAGAACCAUGAGAAAUAAAUUUCUAGUGUUUAAGUCA
rnacentral:lncRNA from 1 species